rfam:Asian citrus Psyllid, Diaphorina citri - Florida Strain, whole genome shotgun sequence.
GCCUAGUUAGCUUAGUUGGUAGUGCGUCUGCCUUGUAAGCGCUAGGCCGUGGGUUCGAUUCCCGCCCGGGGCA